UGGCACCUGAUCCUCCGGCACGGGUGUCCAGAUGGACUCAGGGGACUUCUGCUCACGGAAGCGGCCUUCAAACACGGCAGCCACCUGUGCCAUGUCAAAGGCACAGACUGCCGAGCCAGGGAUGCUGGGGAGGAAGAGAGAAGCCCUCCCUGAUCCCUCCUCCAAAGGCAGAGGAUGAGGACCUCCCCAUCUGCCCAGUUCUGACCAAAGGGCAUUGGAAGUGCCCGCUGACCUGUUGCUGGGUGUGGAGAAGACAGCAAGGACCACGGGCCGGCCCCCGAGGCUGACCACGGCGGUGACGGCCCGCAGCACGUUGAAGUAGAAGUGGGAGUCCC